rnacentral:rRNA from 1 species
UACAGAGGUCCCAAGCGUUGUUCGGAUUCACUGGGCGUAAAGGGUGCGUAGGCGGUCGGGUAAGUCUGAUGUGAAAUCUCACAGCUUAACUGUGAAACUGCAUUGGAUACUAUUCGGCUUGAGAGUUGGAGGGGGGACUGGAAUUCUUGGUGUAGCAGUGAAAUGCGCAGAUAUCAGGAGGAACACCGGUGGCGAAGGCGGUUCUCUGGGCAUUACCUGACGCUGAGGAGCGAAAGUGUGGGGAGCGAACAGG